GAUCCUGGCUCAGGAUGAACGCUGGCGGCGUGCUUAACACAUGCAAGUCGAACGGAACUCCUAUGAACGAGGUUUCGGCCAAGUGAAUAGGAUGUUUAGUGGCGGACGGGUGAGUAACGCGUGAGUAACCUGCCUUGGAGUGGGGAAUAACACAGUGAAAAUUGUGCUAAUACCGCAUAAUGCAUUUGGAUCGCAUGAUUCUGAAUGCCAAAGAUUUAUCGCU
rnacentral:rRNA from 1 species